CAGAGGGUGCAAACGUUGCUCGGAAUUACUGGGCGUAAAGCGCGUGUAGGUGGAUUGGUGUGUCAGAUGUGAAAGCCCUGGGCUCAACCCAGGAAUUGCACCUGAAACUACCAGUCUUGAGUGGUGGAGAGGGAAGUGGAAUUCCUGGUGUAGAGGUGAAAUUCGUAGAUAUCAGGAGGAACACCAGUGGCGAAGGCGGCUUCCUGGACACCAACUGACGCUGAGACGCGAAAGCGUGGGGAGCAAACAGGAUU
rnacentral:rRNA from 1 species